rnacentral:rRNA from 1 species
UAAGGAAUAUUGCUCAAUGGGAGAAAUCCUGAAGCAGCAACGCCGCGUGGAGGAUGAAGGGUUUUUAACUUGUAAACUCCUGUAAAGAAGGAAAAAAUUCCCCAUUAGAUGGGAAAUGAUGGUACUUCUGGAGUAAGCCCCGGCUAACUACGUGCCAGCAGCCGCGGUAAUACGUAGGGGGCAAGCGUUGUCCGGAUUUACUGGGUGUAAAGGGUGCUCAGGCGGAUUUGUAAGUCAGAGGUGAAAUCUCACAGCUUAACUGUGAAACUGCCUUUGAUACUGCAAGCCUAGAGUAUGGAAGAGAGUGAUGGAAUAUCUGGUGUAGCAGUGAAAUGCGUAGAUAUCAGAUAGAACACCAAUGGCGAAGGCAGUCACUUGGUCCAUAACUGACGCUAAAGCACGAAAGCGUGGGUAGCAAACAGGAUUAGAUACCCUGGUAGUCCACGCCCUAAACGAUGAAUACUAGAUGUUGGCUUCGCAUGAAGUCAGUAUCUGAGCUAACGCAUUAAGUAUUCCACCUGGGAAGUACGAUCGCAAGGUUGAAACUCAAAGGAAUUGACGGGGUCAUAGCUGUUUCCUG